rnacentral:rRNA from 1 species
UACGUAGGGUGCGAGCGUUGUCCGGAAUUAUUGGGCGUAAAGAGCUCGUAGGCGGUCUGUCGCGUCGGCUGUGAAAACCCGGGGCUCAACCCCGGGCCUGCAGUCGAUACGGGCAGACUAGAGUGCGGUAGGGGAGACUGGAAUUCCUGGUGUAGCGGUGGAAUGCGCAGAUAUCAGGAGGAACACCGAUGGCGAAGGCAGAUCUCUGGGCCGUAACUGACGCUGAGGAGCGAAAGCAUGGGGAGCGAACAGG